GAGACCUGGAGGUAGAGGUCUGAUCACCGACAGGGAGGAGGCAGCCUAUAGGGAGGAGGACAGAGACCUGGAGGUAGAGGUCUGAUCACCGACAGGGAGGAGACAGCCUAUAGGGAGGAGGACAGAGACCUGGAGACAGCCUAUAGGGAG